rnacentral:rRNA from 1 species
AAAGGAAUUGACGGGGGCCCGCACAAGCGGUGGAGCAUGUUGCUUAAUUCGAGGCGACGCGAAGAACCUUACCCAGGUUUGACAUGCUUUCGGCCGGCGUUGAAAGACGCCCUUCCCUCGGGACGGAAGCACAGAUGCUGCAUGGCUGUCGUCAGCUCGUGCCGUGAGGUGUUCGGUUAAGUCCGGCAACGAGCGCAACCCGUGCCGUCAGUUGCCAUCAAGUAAUGUUGGGGACUCUGGCGGGACCGCCCGUGUCAAGCGGGAGGAAGGCGCGGAUGACGUCAAGUCCGUAUGGCUCUUACACCUGGGGCCGCAAACGUGCUACAAUGGCGGGUACAAUGGGCAGCGAGUCCGCGAGGCCGAGCGAACCCCCAAAGCCCGCCCCAGUUCGGAUUGCAGCCUGCAACUCGGCUGCAUGAAGUCGGAAUCGCUAGUAAAGGGACAUCAGCCACGGUCCCUUGAAUACGUUCCCGGGCCUUGUACACACCGCCCGU